AGCGGCGGACGGGUGAGUAACACGUAGGUAACCUACCUAUAAGACUGGGAUAACUUCGGGAAACCGGAGCUAAUACCGGAUAAUAUUUCGAACCGCAUGGUUCGAUAGUGAAAGAUGGCUUUGCUAUCACUUAUAGAUGGACCUGCGCCGUAUUAGCUAGUUGGUAAGGUAACGGCUUACCAAGGCAACGAUACGUAGCCGACCUGAGAGGGUGGUCGGCCACACUGGAACUGAGACACGGUCCAGACUCCUACGGGAGGCAGCAGUAGGGAAUCUUCCGCAAUGGGCGAAAGCCUGACGGAGCAACGCCGCGUGAGUGAUGAAGGUCUUCGGAUCGUAAAACUCUGUUAUUAGGGAAGAACAAACGUGUAAGUAACUGUGCACGUCUUGACGGUACCUAAUCAGAAAGCCACGGCUAACUACGUGCCAGCAGCCGCGGUAAUACGUAGGUGGCAAGCGUUAUCCGGAAUUAUUGGGCGUAAAGCGCGCGUAGGCGGUUUUUUAAGUCUGAUGUGAAAGCCCACGGCUCAACCGUGGAGGGUCAUUGGAAACUGGAAAA
rnacentral:rRNA from 1 species